GAUGAACGCUGGCGGUGUGCCUAAUACAUGCAAGUCGAGCGAACAGACGAGGAGCUUACUCCUUUGACGUUAGCGGCGGACGGGUGAGUAACACGUGGAUAACCUACCUAUAAGACUGGGAUAACUUCGGGAAACCGGAGCUAAUACCGGAUAACAUGUUGAACCGCAUGGUUCAACAGUGAAAGACGGUCUUGCUGUCACUUAUAGAUGGAUCCGCGUCGCAUUAGCUAGUUGGUAAGGUAACGGCUUACCAGGGCAACGAUGCGUAGCCGACCUGAGAGGGUGAUCGGCCACACUGGAACUGAGACACGGUCCAGACUCCUACGGGAGGCAGCAGUAGGGAAUCUUCCGCAAUGGGCGAAAGCCUGACGGAGCAACGCCGCGUGAGUGAAGAAGGUCUUCGGAUCGUAAAACUCUGUUAUUAGGGAAGAACAAAUGUGUAAGUAACUAUGCACGUCUUGACGGUACCUAAUCAGAAAGCCACGGCUAACUACGUG
rnacentral:rRNA from 1 species